GUGCUCGCUUCAGCAGCACAUAUACUAAAAUUGGAACGGUACAGAGAAGAUUAGCAUGGCCCCUGCGCAAGGAUGACACACAAAUUCGUGAAGCGUUCCAUAAAAAA
rnacentral:snRNA from 1 species